CACUAUCACAGGAUAACAGCCUUGCACUAAUUUUAGGAAUCAGCACAUCU
rnacentral:tRNA from 1 species